rnacentral:lncRNA from 1 species
AUAUAAUCAUUAUUUGAGAUGUGUAUUAGUAUGUUAUUAUAAAUAAUUUUAAAAAUUUUAUCCAAAAGAAUUAAAAAUCAAUUUAAAAUAUAAUAUCUUAAAAAAGUUAAGAAUUAUAUAAAAUUACAAUAAAUAUCAAUUAUUAUCAAUCAAUUAAUGAAAAAACUGUUCAUAUUCUUUGAGUGUUUUAAAACUUGAUAUUAAAUUUUUUUUUUUAAUAAAUGAUAACUUUAAAUUAUAAAAAUGACACAUGUCAUCUCCAUAUCAAUUUAAAAUGAUGAUGUGUCACUCAUAUGGAGAGAAUUGAUCAUCUUUUAUAUAUAAGAUAUUUCAAUGGCAUGAUGUUUGUAAAAUCAGUAUGAUUAAAACUAUUCGUUUUAUAUUCUGUUACUGAUAUAACAUUUAUUUGACAGAAAGGUUAUAUUACGGGUAACUUUUGAAGUAGAGAAUUGACUUGCAGUUUUCAAAGGUGAUGGUCAAUUUUAAAAAUAAAAAAUAAAGAUGAAUGUUUUUUUGCAUUAAAUCCUUAUAUUAAAUAUAAAACAAGUUUACCAUAAACAUAAAAUAAGUUUAUCUUACGUAAAAAAAAAAGUUUACCACAUUUACUUCUACACUUUUGUGCACUCAUACCUUCUGUCAAUAUCCAAUUGGUUCGUUAAGAACUGAUGAACCAGGUGUGCACUCUAGGUAUAGCUUCUCACUGCAAGCUUUAGUACAGAUGUGUUCAUAACAUCAAUGAAGACCUUGUCGCCUAAUGUCUCCCUCAGUUUUGAGAAAUCAGUUAAGUGGCAGUCAUAAUUCAAACUAUGAUAUUGCAAGGAACACUUAAAUGGCAGAUACAAUUCUCGAAGGAUAGUCCUUCGAGUCGCUAGAUGUAGCCAUCUUUCUAAACCUGUAACAUAUAAUAUGUGAGCAUUAUAUUAGGUACCAUAAUCACGAAACAAGUCUAACUACAGAAGAAAACAAUUCUACCUAAGUAAGAAAUCAAGUAUACCACAUACACUUCUAUACCAAAACUACAUAACAAGUCUACCACACAUGUAAGCAAAAAAUACAAAAAAUACCAAUAAGUAUACCAAAAGUAAAAAACAAGUCUACCACAUAUACUCCAACUAACACUUACUUAAUCAAGUUUACCAUAUCAAACAUCAAAUCUACCACAUGAUGAAGAUUAAAAGUCAGCAAAAUUUGUAUAUAUUUACGCAAAGCUCACCGAAAAUUUCUUGAGUUUUGCCGGAACUUCUAUCUAUUGACCGGAAUCAACAAUUUAGAAAGAUUCCUGCAACAAAAAAAAAAUUAUGGUUUACUUCUUUCGCAAAAAAAUAGUUAUUUUCAGCCGCCACGGCCACUAUUGCUCCAUGGCAAGGCCAAUCGAUAAAGGAAGUUUCGUCGCCUCUCAGACCCUUUGUGUCACCUGUUAGAUCCUUUGCGGCAGUUUUGUCCACUUUGCAUCGCCCCUCGCGACCAAAACUCGCGGAAGCAAAAUAAAAGAAAAGAAGAAACUAGUGAAAUUUACUAGAAUCUGUUCGAACAAUGGUCGAAUGUGGUUUUGAAGGAGUAAAUUCGAAGGGUUUCUUACCCGGAAUCAAUGGUCGUCGAGGACAAAAACAGAGUCGAUGAAGUCGCCGGAGUUGCCAUAAACCUCGCCGGAGAGGAUGAGAACUCUCGAAAUCGCAUUUUUUUUUGUCGUCGCCUCCUUUGUUGGGAUAUUAGGAUUAGGUUUAGGAAAAGUUUAGGAAAAGUUUUUUUUUCUAUUUUCUUUAAUAUUUUGAUUUUACUUUUCUCAUUUUUAUAAAAAUUAAUAAUAUUUUGAUUUUUCAAAAUUUUAGGAAAUAAAUUAAAUCAAUGGCAUUUUA